CCCUUAGAUGUUCUGGGCCGCACGCGCGCUACACUGACUGACUCAACGAGUGUACAACCUGCUUCGACAGAAGUGGGUAAUCUUUUGAAAUUCAGUCGUGAUGGGGCUAGAUUAUUGCAACUAUUAAUCUUCAACGAGGAAUGCCUAGUAAGCGCGAAUCAUCAGUUCGCGUUGAUUACGUCCCUGCCCUUUGUACACACCGCCCGUCGCUACUACCGAUUGAACGUUUUAGUGAGGUAUUUGGACUGGACCUUCGGAGGUUCGCGCCUCCGUUGCUGUUCGGGAAGACUCCCAAACUUGAGCGUUUAGAGGAAGUAAAAGUCGUAACA
rnacentral:rRNA from 1 species